GGCCAGGUACGGAUGCCACGAUGCCAGCCUGGGUUUGGUGAGGCCUGGAGUAUGAUCAAAAUUUUGGGAACGCAGUGACAGGUGCAGACACCUCUCGGAGUGUGAUUCCCAACCUCCUGUCUUAAUGCAAAUCUCAAGAACACGAGCCAUGUCACCAAACCACUGCUCACAGCUGUUUGCUGAACCUGACACAUUCUACUCCCCAGUCCUGCAGAUCCAUCACUUAUGGAGAAGGACAGAUGCAAGGGUGCGUUUGGGACUGCCUUCAUGCUCCCCGAUGUGCCCCAGAGAGCAAGGCAGGGAAGGCCACAAGACCACGAUGCCAAAGCAGACAGAAGAC
rnacentral:lncRNA from 1 species